CAUUGGAACCACCUGAUCCCAUCCCGAACUCAGCAGUGAAACGAUGCAUCGCCGAUGGUAGUGUGGGGUUUCCCCAUGUGAGAGUAGGUCAUCGUCAAGAUU
rnacentral:rRNA from 1 species